rnacentral:lncRNA from 1 species
CGUAACUAUUGAUUGAGUGACACCUCUGUAAGGCUGAGGUAGAUCAAGCUUGUAGGGAUUAGAGGUUUCUGAUCGUGGUUUAGAUCAAAGAAGAUUUGUAUUUGAGAUCGGUAGUAUCUCGAGAUCAUAGUGGAAAACUCACAGGCGUGGGGACUGGACUAGCCCAGGAUUUGGGUGAACCAGUAUAAUUUUUGUGUGUGAAUCUCUCUUACCUUUAACUAUUUAUUUACUGCAUACACACAUCACACAAACCACUUAAUCUACAUUCACUUUGAAUUCUCACGCAGCAGAGAACAUUCUCAGAACAAGCUCACGCAGCAGAGAACAU